rnacentral:rRNA from 1 species
UACGUAGGGUGCAAGCGUUAAUCGGAAUUACUGGGCGUAAAGCGUGCGCAGGCGGUUAUGCAAGACAGAUGUGAAAUCCCCGGGCUCAACCUGGGAACUGCAUUUGUGACUGCAUGGCUAGAGUACGGUAGAGGGGGAUGGAAUUCCGCGUGUAGCAGUGAAAUGCGUAGAUAUGCGGAGGAACACCGAUGGCGAGGGCAAUCCCCUGGACCUGUACUGACGCUCAUGCACGAAAGCGUGGGGAGCAAACAGG